AUGGCGGCUGCUGGUGAUGAGAAGCUGUACCUUCUGGUGGCGUGUUCUUUGCUGCUGCUCGCCGUGGGGUGCCAGGCUAGCCCUCUGCAGAUUGGGUUCUACCACGACAGGUGCCCCCAGGCGGAGGCCAUCGUCAAGGGCGUCAUGAUGGAUGCCAUCUCCCAGAACCCCGGCAAUGGCGCUGCCAUGAUCCGCAUGCUCUUCCACGACUGCUUCGUCGAGGUACACACUAGCCACUCACCGGAAGAAAUAAAUUGCAUUGCAAACAUGUAUGUUUACUUUUAUAAUUGA
rnacentral:rRNA from 1 species